CAGCCGCCGCGGUAAAACGAAGGGUGCAAGCGUUAAUCGGAAUUACUGGGCGUAAAGCGUGCGUAGGCGGUUUGUUAAGUCUGUUGUGAAAUCCCCGGGCUCAACCUGGGAAUGGCAAUGGAUACUGGCAAGCUAGAGUGUGUCAGAGGAUGGUGGAAUUCCCGGUGUAGCGGUGAAAUGCGUAGAGAUCGGGAGGAACAUCAGUGGCGAAGGCGGCCAUCUGGGACAACACUGACGCUGAGGCACGAAAGCGUGGGGAGCAAACAGGAUUAGAUACCCGCGUAGUCCCUGUCUCUUAUAC
rnacentral:rRNA from 1 species